CCGCGGCCGAGCCGCCGCCGAGCCAGCCGGCCCCGCCCCUGCACUCCGCUGAUAGGCGGCGGCGGCAGCGGCGGUGCGUCGGUCGUGCCCGGGUCUGGGCGGUGGUGCUCCGGGGGCAGGGCGGUCGGGACCCCGGCCGGCGCCGAAAAGCCUCGCGGCCCACGCUCCUGAGCUCCAGCCUCCACCUCCCUACUCGUUACAUCUCUGGGACGCCCACCUGGCGUACAGGGGCCGAGGGAGUGGCCGGAGGCUGAGGCUGGGGACUUGCGGGUAGGGGUUAUCAUAUGUGGGAAAAAAUAGCAGGAACUCUAUGUCCGGUAGACUCCUCUGGACCUGGCCCUAGAUUCUAGGGAGUUAAGAUUUUGAGAUGUGUUUAGCCACAUCGGGUGUCCUCACUAUUCACUGAAGCCCAGCGCCCUGGGCAUCCUCAAGAGUACGGCAUUUUAAGGAAACGUCGGGAGGAUCUUUGCACAGGCCUCGAUUAUUCAGGGAAGUGAAGUCACAGAGUAAACUGCUGUCCCCAAAUUGGAGCAACAAGAAGGCACAGAGAAUCACAACUUACCAGACCAGAAACCUCUGCAGCAACCUUGGCCAGGGUAGGACCACCUAAACUGUAAUUGAUGAAUCUGGAGGCAUAGUGUGGACAACUCUGAGAGUUGAAAACUGCAGGAGAAUCUAGUCACGGGAGACCCCCACACUUUGGUGAAUUUUACCUUCAGGAGCUCUUACCAGGUGCUCACAGUUAAUAUUGGAGAAAAAUACCCAGUGUUUCCAGCAGGAGGAGGGGAAAAGGAACUAUUUCAACAUUCACCAGAGAAUUCUGCUUUUCUUAAGAAGACAGGCCCUCAAGAGAAACUAUUUCAUCAGAGCCUAACCUUAGUGGGGGAAGGCAAUUCUCAACAUCAGCCAGCUCUAGCCUUCCACCCGGGAGAAGGGAAAACACCAUUUGGAGCUCAUUUAGCCAUGUAGGGAGAGAGAAAUGCGUUACUCCAGCUAUCCUGUCCCAUCCCUGGGGAGUGAAAAGGUAGGGACUAAAAAGCAUUGGUGAAGUUCAUGGCCCAGAGCUACCAGCUCACUGAGAAACUGAGCCCUAAUCAUAGGACUGUAGGAUGCCUCCCCCUAACAACCACAUACCAUACCGCUACAUUACUGAAGACCUGAUUACCAAACUUCUUUAGCCUAGUGCAUCAUGUCUGCCUUUCAACAAAAAAUUACAAGGCAUGCUAAGAGACAAAAAAUACAGUUUGAAGAGACUGAGCAAUUAUGAGAACUAGAGUCAGAUAUGUAAGGAAUGUUGGAAUUACCAGAUGAGGAAUUUAAAAAAACAACUAUGAUUAAUAUGCUCAGGAUUUUAAUGGAAAAAGUAGACAACAUGCAAGAAUAAAUGGAUAUUGUAAGCAGAGAGGUGGAAAAUCUAAGACUAAAAUAUUAGGUCAAAAAUACUGUAACAGAAACAAAGAAUGUCUUUGAUGGGCUCAUUAUUGGACUGGACACGGCUGAGGAAAGAAUCUCUGAACUGAAGGAUGUGACAAUAGAACAUUUCAAAAUUGAAGAGUAAAGAGGAAAAAAAAAAAUGAGAAAAGCAGAACAGAACAUGCAAAAACUGUGGACACCUACGAAAGCAUACAUGUAAUGUGAAUACUAGAUGGAGAAAAAAGAAAAGAGAAGCAAUAUUUGAGGCAAGAAUGACUGAGAAUUUCCUCUAAUUGAAAUCAGACAGACACUGGAUCACAGAACCAGGAAGCUUAGAGAGUACCAAGCAGGAUAAAUGUCAAAAAAAACCCUCCUAUGCCUAGGCAGAAUAUAUUCAAACUUCAGAAAAUCAACGAUAAAGAGAAUAAUCUUGAAAGAAGCCAGAGGAAAAAAACACCUUACCUAUAGAAGAGCAAGGGUAAGGAUCACAUUCUUUUAACUUUCAACCUUGCAGAAAGUAUGGAAGCAAAAAAGUUGAGUAGAAUGUUUAAAAUAUUGAGGGAAAACCCCCACCAACUUUGAGUUCGGAAACUUGUGAAAUUUCUUCAAAAGUGAAGGAGAAAUACUUUCUCAAACAGAAAUUAGCGGAAUUUGUUACUAAUAGCCCUGCCUUGCAUGAAAUGUUAAAAGAAGUCUUUAGAGAAAAGGAAAUGGUACAUAUCAGAAGCUGAUGUACAUAAAUAAAGGAAGAGCUUUGGAGAAAAAAUAAGUGAAGGUAGAAUAGAAACUUUUAUUUAUACUUAAUUGAUUUAAUAGUUUUUGGUUCAAAAUGAUAGCAGUAGAUUCAGUUUGUGUGUAUGUGUGUGUGUGUGUAUGCUUAAUGUAUGCUUAGGUAUAAGUGAAAUGAAUGAAGGUAAUGAUAUAAGGGAUGGGAGAAAAGAAUUAGGAAUAUUUUUAUUCUAAGGUAUUUGCGCUGUGAAGGAGUACAGUAUUAUUUGAAAGUGGAUUUAGAUAACUUGUAAAUAUAUACAGGCCUACCUUAGAGGUAUUGUAGGUUUGGUUCCAGACUGCUAUAACAAAGCAAAUAUCAAAAAAUGAUUUUUUUUAAUUUCCUGGUGCAUGUAAUCAUUGUGUUUAAACCAUACUGUGGUCUAUUAGUGUGCAGUACCAUUAUUCCUAAAAAUAUAUACAUACCUUAAUUACAAACUACUUUAUUGCUAAAAAAUGUUACCAUCUGAGCUUUCCAUGAGUUGUAAUCCGUGAUCACCGUAACAAAUAUAUUAACAGUGGAAGUAUUUGAAAUGUUAAGAGGAUUACCAAAAUGUGACAGAGAGACGCAGAGUAAGUAAAUGCUGUUGGAAAAAUGGUACCCGUAGACUGGCUCAAAAUACAGUUGCUAUGAAACUUUAAUUUGCAAAAAACACAGUAUCUGUGAAGUACAGUAAAGCAAAGCACAAUAAAACGGGAUUUACCUGUAUUGCAAAGUCUAGAGUAAUCAGUAAAGUUAAAAGAAAGUAUCAUUGGUAAGAGCGGAAAGGGAAUAUAAAGUAUUCAAAUUCACAAAAGGCAAAAAAAGUAUGGAAGUCAAAAGUGAGAACUAAGACAAGGGCAACAAGUAGAAAACAGUAACAAAUAUGGGGCACCUGGGUGGCUCAGUCGGUUGGGCGGCCGACUACAGAUCAGGUCAUGAUCUUGCAGUCGGUGAGUUCGAGCCCCACAUCAGGCUCUGUGCUGACAGCUCAGAGCCUGGAGCCUGCUUCCGAUUCUGUGUCUCCCUCUCUCUCUGCCCCUUCCCUGCUUGCUCUCUGUCUCUCUCUCUCAAAAAUAAUAAACAUUAAAAAAAAUUUUUUUUAGAAACAGUAGCAAAUAUGUGUAGAAGUCCAUCUAUAACAAUUUCCUCUAAAUACAUCAUUUAAAAGACAGAUUAUUAGGGUGGAUCAAAAACAAGACCCCAGUAUAUGUUGCCUACCAGAAACUCACUUUAAAAACACAUGUAGAUUGGGGUGUUUGCGUGGCUCCGUUUGUUGAGCAUCUGACUUCGGCUCAGGUCAUGAUCUCACAGUUGGUGGGUUUGAGCCCUGCCUCAGGCUCUGUGCAACAUCCCAGAGCUUGGAGCCUGCUUCGGCUUCUGUGUCUCCCUCUCUCUCUGCCCCUCUCCUGCUCACACUCUGUGUGUCUCUCAAGGAUAAAUAAACAUUAAAAAUUUUUUUGUAAAGAAAAAUAUGUGUAGAUUAAAAGUAGAGGGAUAGGGGCGCCUGGGUGGCUCAGUCCGUUAAGCGUCUGACUUCAGCUCAGGUCAUGAUCUCACGGUCUGUGAGUUCAAGCCCCGCGUUGGGCUCUGUGCUGACAGCUCAGAGCCUGGAACCUGCUUCAUAUUCUGUGUCUCCCUCUCUCUCUGCUCCUCCCUGCUCACUCUCUCUCUCUCUAUUAAAAAUAAAUAAAUGCAUAAAAAAAUAAAUAAAAGUAAAGGGAUAGAGGAAGGUAACAGCAUACUACCACUAAUCAAAAGAAAGUGAGAAUAGGUAUAUUAAUUUCAGACAGAAAUUGAGAGUGAGGACAGUUACUAGGAAUAAAAAGGGGCAUUACAUAUGAUAAAGUGGUCAGUACUCCAAAAAGAUGUAACGAUCCUUAAUAUGUAUAAACCUAACAGAGUGUCAAAAUAUGUGAGGAAAACUGAUAGAGCAGCAAGUAUAAAUAGAUAAAUCCACUAUUAUUGGAGACUUUAAUACUCCUCUGUCAGAAUUGGACAGAUCCAGCAGGCAGAAAAUCAGUAAAGACCUAGUUGAAUCCAACAGAACUAUCAAUCAACUGGAUGUAAUUGACAUCUAUAGACUCCUUUAUCCAAUAGCAGCAAAUUACAUAUUCUUCUCAUGCUCACAUGAACAUUCAUCAAGAUGGACAUCAUUCUGGUUAUAAAACACACCUUAACAAGCUUAAAAGAACAGAUAAUACAAUAUCUGUUCACAGACCACAAUGAAAUUAAACUAGAAAUUAAUAACAUGAACAGAGUUGUAAAGUUCCCAUAUAUCUGGAGAUUAAAGAAGCAUAAGGUCUAAAAAACAGAUGGGUCAAGGAAGAAAUCUCAAGAGCAAUUGAAAAAUAUUUUGAAUUAAAUGAAAAUGAGUUUAUAGUUUACCAACAAAAGCAGUGCUUAGAAGGAAAUUUAUAGCAUGGAAUGAAUACGUUAGAAAACAAGAAAGUUCUAAAAUUAGCCAUUUAAGCUUCCAUUUUAGGAACUAGAAGAACAAAUUAAAUCUCAAGUAAGCAGAUGUGAAGAAACAGUAAGAACUAAAGCAGAAAUCAGUUAAAUUGAAAACAGGAAAUAAGAGAAAAUCAAUAAACCCAAAAGCUGGUUCUUGGAAGAGAUCAAUAAAAUCAAUAAGUCUCUAGGCAGGCUAACUAAGAAAAAGAGGAGGACACACAUUAGUGAUCAGGUAUGAAAGAGGGGACAUCACCACAGAUCCCAUCAAUAUUACUAUGAUAAACAAUUCCAUGAAGAACUCUAUGCCCACAGAUUUUAUAUCCUAGGUGAAGUGAAUCUACUGUUUGAAAGUCACAAUCUGCCAAAACUCACACCAGAAGAAAUAAAGUCUGAAUCAACCUA